GGAGGAGUACCCAAGCGGCCAAAGGGGGCAGACUGUAAAUCUGUUAGCACAGCUUUCGGUGGUUCGAAUCCACCCUCCUCCACCA
rnacentral:tRNA from 1 species